GUAAGAAAUCUUUGUAGUUCUC
ensembl:miRNA mir-255 ncRNA